rnacentral:rRNA from 1 species
GCUCCCCAGCGCUUUCUAGCUAAUAUGAAAGUGCGGCNUACAGCUCAGUAACACGUGGCUAACCUGCCCUUGGGACGGAGACAACCCCGGGAAACUGGGGUUAAUUUCCGAUAGGUGAAAAAUUCUGGAAUGAAUUUUCGCCCAAAAGACAUCUAUGUUAUGCUCAUAUUUGUUGCCCAGGGAUGGGGCCGCGACCGAUCAGGUUGUUGGUGAGGUAAUGGCUCACCAAGCCUUUUACCGGUACGGGCCGUGAGAGCGGGAGCCCGGAGAUGGGCACUGAGACAAGGGCCCAGGCCCUACGGGGCGCAGCAGUCGCGAAAACUUUGCAAUACACGAAAGUGUGACAAGGCUAUCCCGAGUGCCAUCCGCUGAGGAAGGCUUUUACCCAGUAUAAAUAGCUGGGAGAAUAAGGAGAGGGCAAGUCUGGUGUCAGCCGCCGCGGUAAUACCAGCUCUCCGAGUAGUGUGGAUGUUUAUUGGGCCUAAAGCAUCCGUAGCUUGCUAAGCAAGUCCCCUGUUAAUCCACCGAUUCAAUCGUUGGAUUGCGGGGGAUACUGUUUGGCUAGGGGACGGGANAGGCCGACGGUNUUCCGGGGUAGGGGUG